rnacentral:rRNA from 1 species
GACGAACGCUGGCGGCGUGCUUAACACAUGCAAGUCGAACGGAAAGGCCCUGCUUUUGUGGGGUGCUCGAGUGGCGAACGGGUGAGUAACACGUGAGUAACCUGCCCUUGACUUUGGGAUAACUUCAGGAAACUGGGGCUCAUACCGGCUAGGAGCUCCUGCUGCAUGGUGGGGGUUGGAAAGUUUCGGCGGUUGGGGAUGGACUCGCGGCUUAUCAGCUUGUUGGUGGGGUAGUGGCUUACCAAGGCUUUGACGGGUAGCCGGCCUGAGAGGGUGACCGGCCACAUUGGGACUGAGAUACGGCCCAGACUCCUACGGGAGGCAGCAGUGGGGAAUAUUGCACAAUGGGCGGAAGCCUGAUGCAGCAACGCCGCGUGCGGGAUGACGGCCUUCGGGGUGUAAACCGCUUUCGCCUGUGACGAAGCGGGAGUGACGGUAAUGGGUAAAGAAGCACCGGCUAACUACGUG